GCUUUUUUCUUUGGGACAUCCGAUAAAAUUGGAAUGAUACAGAGAAAAUUAGCAUGGUCCCUGCACAAUAAUGACCCGCGUAAAUCAAAAUAUGGUACAAAUUUUU